rnacentral:rRNA from 2 species
GUAAGACUGGGAUAACUCCGGGAAACCGGGGCUAAUACCGGAUGCUUGUUUGAACCGCAUGGUUCAAACAUAAAAGGUGGCUUCGGCUACCACUUACAGAUGGACCCGCGGCGCAUUAGCUAGUUGGUGAGGUAAUGGCUCACCAAGGCAACGAUGCGUAGCCGACCUGAGAGGGUGAUCGGCCACACUGGGACUGAGACACGGCCCAGACUCCUACGGGAGGCAGCAGUAGGGAAUCUUCCGCAAUGGACGAAAGUCUGACGGAGCAACGCCGCGUGAGUGAUGAAGGUUUUCGGAUCGUAAAGCUCUGUUGUUAGGGAAGAACAAGUACCGUUCGAAUAGGGCGGUACCUUGACGGUACCUAACCAGAAAGCCACGGCUAACUACGUGCCAGCAGCCGCGGUAAUACGUAGGUGGCAAGCGUUGUCCGGAAUUAUUGGGCGUAAAGGGCUCGCAGGCGGUUUCUUAAGUCUGAUGUGAAAGCCCCCGGCUCAACCGGGGAGGGUCAUUGGAAACUGGGGAACUUGAGUGCAGAAGAGGAGAGUGGAAUUCCACGUGUAGCGGUGAAAUGCGUAGAGAUGUGGAGGAACACCAGUGGCGAAGGCGACUCUCUGGUCUGUAACUGACGCUGAGGAGCGAAAGCGUGGGGAGCGAACAGGAUUAGAUACCCUGGUAGUCCACGCCGUAAACGAUGAGUGCUAAGUGUUAGGGGGUUUCCGCCCCUUAGUGCUGCAGCUAACGCAUUAAGCACUCCGCCUGGGGAGUACGGUCGCAAGACUGAAACUCAAAGGAAUUGACGGGGGCCCGCACAAGCGGUGGAGCAUGUGGUUUAAUUCGAAGCAACGCGAAGAACCUUACCAGGUCUUGACAUCCUCUGACAAUCCUAGAGAUAGGACUUCCCCUUCGGGGGCAGAGUGACAGGUGGUGCAUGGUUGUCGUCAGCUCGUGUCGUGAGAUGUUGGGUUAAGUCCCGCAACGAGCGCAACCCUUGAUCUUAGUUGCCAGCAUUCAGUUGGGCACUCUAAGGUGACUGCCGGUGACAAACCGGAGGAAGGUGGGGAUGACGUCAAAUCAUCAUGCCCCUUAUGACCUGGGCUACACACGUGCUACAAUGGACAGAACAAAGGGCAGCGAAACCGCGAGGUUAAGCCAAUCCCACAAAUCUGUUCUCAGUUCGGAUCGCAGUCUGCAACUCGACUGCGUGAAGCGGAAU